CCUACGGGAGGCAGCAGUGAGGAAUAUUGGUCAAUGGACGAGAGUCUGAACCAGCCAAGUAGCGUGAAGGAUGACUGCCCUAUGGGUUGUAAACUUCUUUUAUAUGGGAAUAAAAUGUUCCACGUGUGGGAUUUUGUAUGUACCAUAUGAAUAAGGAUCGGCUAACUCCGUGCCAGCAGCCGCGGUAAUACGGAGGAUCCGAGCGUUAUCCGGAUUUAUUGGGUUUAAAGGGAGCGUAGGUGGAUUGUUAAGUCAGUUGUGAAAGUUUGCGGCUCAACCGUAAAAUUGCAGUUGAAACUGGCAGUCUGGAGUACAGUAGAGGUGGGUGGAAUUCGUGGUGUAGCGGUGAAAUGCUUAGAUAUCACGAAGAACUCCGAGUGCGAAGGCAGCUCACUGGACUGCAACUGACACUGAGGCUCGAAAGUGUGGGUAUCAAACAGGAUUAGAUACCCGGGUAGUC
rnacentral:rRNA from 1 species